GAUUCAUUGGAGAGAGGUAUGGGGAGAUUCACAUCUUACUCUUCUAACAAUGAAAAAAAUUUGUGGAAGUGUAAACUUACAAAAGUAUUCACAACCUAAAAGUUGAGAGUAUAAUCAAGCCCUAGCUCACUCUACUCACCCCUGACAAUAGGCUAAUAAAUUUGAGAGACAAGGUAUUUAGGCAAGGAAUAUGACUUUACUCAGAGAGCUGGCUGACCAAGAAGAUGGCUGACUAACAUCUUGAAAGAACCAUCAUGUCGGGGUCUGGAUGCCAGGUUAUUUUAUGGAUCAGAGAUGGGGAGAGGAGAGGAAACAAAGUAAAAAGAAAAAAACUGAUUUUUGUUGGUAUCUCUUAGAAUACCAAGCCUCACGCACAGGGAUGUGUUAGUUUCACUUCUUUACAUCAUUUCAUGGGUGCUGUGACAUGAAAUAUACCCUGUGAUACCAAAACAAAGAUGCCAGAGCUCUAUGCAUUUCUGGCCUAUAAAUAUGAAUUUCUCAGUCAGGCUGGUAAGCAACAGAGGAGGGGUUUCAUUUCCCACACAAAGAAGAGGGAUGUUAUAGCCCUUUACAUAUGAGCAGACUCAGGCUAUCUCCUUGUGAGCCAAACAAAGGCACCCUAGCCCAAGAGGCAGGGGAGGUGGGGCAGGCAGAGCUCCUUGAGACAAGCCAUUAUGUAUGCCUUUAAUAACAAAAGCAGUGAAAUGAGAGUUAAAGUCACAGAAACAGAUCCUGUAUGGAGUCAAAAUUAACCCUUCCUGGUUACAAGAGUUAUGUUUUAUUCAGUGGGCACUUUUAGAACUUAAGCCAAGGAGACAACAUCUCAAAUAACCCUGAGAGAACUGCUCCAAGGAGAUGAGGAGGGAGCCAGGCAAUAUAGAAACUUUGCAACAAACAGCUUGUAGCCUUUGAAUAUCAAAAGUUUUUUUUUUUUUUUUUUGUAAGUUAAAGAAAACCAGACAUCCCAGGUUAAGGAAUUUAGCACUUUUCUGUGUAUGGGAAGAUGCAAGAGUCUGGUCUCACUGAAAUCAUUCCUUUGAUAUGCACCUCAACUAUCUGGGGCCAGUAUCCUGUGUUUUCAUAUUCUGAGUUUCUUCAGGGCUCAGCAUAGGGAGUGGCUGCAGUCUGAGGGCUACUAGAAGGAGGGAGUUCUCCCCUUCCUGAGUUCCCUCAGGGCUCAGCAGCUCACCAUUCUGUGAUGGCUGCGAUUGCUGAUUACUGUGGCAUCCUUUGCUUACUGUUAUGGCAGGAAAUCUUCCAUUUCUCAGAAGUCAUAACAUACGGAAUUUCUAAGACAAUUGUGCUUUAAUGCAGAAUCAGAAAGAAUGAAGGUGGAAAGUUUUAUAUGGAGCCAAAAUUCAAAUGUCAUUGUAUAGCAUCUAAAGACGUCAAUCCUAUAUGUUCUCCCCCUGCCUAGCAUUUAAACUGAGGCUCCUGAACAUUCUAUAAGAUAUACGUGAAAUGAGUGAAAUGUAGCAGUUAAAAGAAAGUUAGCAGGAACUUUUAAAAAGCGAAAUUGACAUUCAGAAAAAUUCACCUUUUGGUGCGCAUUUCUAUGAGUUUUGACAAAUACAUAUAAUCAUAUGGCCACAACACAAUAAGGGUAACCCCCCCCGACCCGCCCACACACAUGCUACCUGUAAAUAUUUCUUUGCUCUCUCCUCAUCGUUUGGCAACCAAUGAUUUCUUUUCUGUUUUGUUACUCUUGAAGAAUGCCUACAGAGUCAAGCUUUUUUCACCAGCAAAAUGCAUUUGAAAUUCAUCUAUAUUGUACUGUAUAUCAAUAGUGUGGACUAAAUGAGGAGAGACAUUAUUCACAAGGACUGUCACAAUAGGAAACACUCUCUGAAAAAUGUUCUCAUUUUUAAGUAAGGCAAGAAGGGGAACAGAACACUUCAUGGGGAAGGGAGAGCUGGGUGGAAGAGCCAGUGGCAUUUCCAAAGUCACACUUCUCACUAGUGUUCUGGGGACGUGAGGUCAUGAUCACACAUGAGGUGGGAAGUAUCUCACUGCUUUCUUUAGUGCCUUUUACAUUUUCAGGCAAUCCAGAGUUCUCUUGGUCUUUGGGGAGGAGAAAGGCUCAGUAAAAUUUACUGAGCCAAAGCAAAAUAAUGAAUGAGCAAUUGUGAGCAUGGGAUCAAGUUUUUCUUUUUUCUUAGUAAAAAGUGGUCUUUAUUUACCUUUUUCCCAGCUGAAGGAUAUUUGAAUUGUUGCCAGGUUUUGGUGACAAUAAAUAAAGUUAUUAUAAAUGUUCAAGUAUAGGUUUGUGUGUAAAUGGAUAUUUCCAUUCCUCUUGCAUAGAUACCUAGAGAUGGCAUUGCUAGGGCAUAUGGUGAGGUUAUGUUUGCCACACCUCACUGCCAAGCUGUUUUCAAAAGCUAUACUGUUGCAUUUUCAAUAGUUUAUGAGAAUUCCAUUUGUAUCAUUUCUUCACCAUCAUUUAGAUUUGUUAUUUUAUUUGCCACUCUGAUACACAUCUUGUGGCAGCUCACUGUAUUUUUGUUUCCCUAGUGACUGGUUGGAGCUUUCCAGGUGGCUCAGGGGUAUAAAGAGUCCCCCUGACAAGCAGGACACCUAGGUUUGAUCCCUGGGUUGGGAAGAUUGCCUGGAGAAGGAAAUGAGACACCAUUCCAGAAUUCUUGCUUGGGAAAUCCCAUGGACAUAGGAGCCAACUCCUAUAGACAGAGGAGCCUGGCAGGUUACAGUCCCUGGGGUCGAACAGCAGUCAGACAAGGUUUAGAAACUAAACAACAACGACUGGUUGUGUUGGUGUCUUGAUUCAUGGGAGCCAGCAGGAGUGAUAGGAGCUGCCUACGGGCAUUCGAGUACACAGUCCCUAGGGUGAAAGGUGGCCUGGGUUACCAGGAGAUUUCCAGGAGCCUAAUGUCACAGGAGUCGCUUGGCUCCCUGGAACUGGCAGGCACUGGGGAGAGGGGGUCUCGGUUAGUGAGUCUGCAGGCUGUAACCCAGGGCUGCAGGAGUCAGACUGAUGUGAGGCUAGAGCAGGUAGACCUGGAAUCUGUAAUGAAGUCAGGUGCUGCUUUACCCUCCUUUCCCACAGGGAGAGGGUCUCUCUCUCUGCUGGACUGCUGAGUCCUGACGGCAGGGUUUGGGGGGCCUGGACCCCAGGAGUUCACCAGGAGCCAAGGGACACAGGAGGCCCACCUGGAGCUGCUGGAAUUGGCAGGUAAAGAUUUCCUAAAGAAAAGCCUAGCAAUUGUAUCUCCUGUUACACCUGCCAAGCUUUACUGCUGCAUCGUGAUUAUCUUUGUGCUUAUAGCUCUAAAUGUGGUGUUAUUUUCCGUUUGUGUGGCAGUGAGCAGCAGAAAGCCAGACUCACACGUUCUGUAUGUCCCCUGCCCAAAAGGAUGGAUUGGAUUUAGGUGUAAAUGUUUUUAUUUUUCUGAAGACUCAAAGAAUUGGACAGCCAGUCAGACAUUUUGUACUUCACAUGAAGCUGUUCUUGUUCAGUUUGAAACCGAGGAGGAGCUGAACUUUCUCAAAAGAUACAAAGGCCCUUUUGACCAUUGGAUUGGCCUUAGCAGAGAAUCACCGCAUCGUGCUUGGAAGUGGACAGACAACUCUACAUAUAAUACGUCGUUCGGCAUGACAGGAGAUGGGGAACGUGGCUACCUGAAUGACCUUGGAGUUAGCAGUGCCAGAAGUUAUACAGAAAGAAAAUGGAUUUGCAGCAAACAAAUAACAUCUCCAUGUCCUUAAAUUCUUCAAGUCCGUUUUAGGGAUCACACACCAUCCCUAAGAGAGGCAUUAAAAAUUGUUUUAUAAAUGUUUUAUAAAAUUUUAUUAUAAAUGUUUAUAUAUACAUUAUAAACAGUUGCCCUAUUGCUUUCUCUGCCAAAAAUAUCAGGAAGAUUUAUUGAUAGUGUUUGGUAACCCCACAGAAGCAAACUAUACUUGCAUGAGAUAGAAAUUUGGAAGAGAUUCUAAAUUAAGUAGGUGUUAAAUAAUAUGAGUUGAUAUUUAUGUCUUGAACCCAUAAAUAUGAAAGAAUUCCCUUUUUUCCAUACAAACAGCAUUUUAUUUGCACACAUGGGACCAAAAUAAUGAUAUGAUAGCUAAAACCAUGCACAAUUAUUUUAAUAACCAAUGAGAAAUGUUACAAUUGGUUAACACAUUCAAAAUUCCCUGAGUGUCUGUUCCAAAUGUACAUGGUCACUUUUUUUGGACUUCCCUGGUGGCACAGUGGAUAACAAUCUGCCUCCCAAUGCAGCAGACACAGGUUCCAGCUCUGGUCUAGGAAGAUUCUGUACUCCAGACAGCAGCGAGGCUCUUGUGCCACUACUACUGAGCCCGCUCUCUAGAGCCCAUGAGCCACAACUAUGAGCCCGAGAGCUACAACUACUGAAGCCUCACGCCUAGAACCUGUGCUCACUGCAGGAGAUGUCACUGCAAUGAGAAAUCCACACACUGCAGCGACGGUCCAGUGCAGCCAAAAAUUAAGAAUUAAUUAAGUAAAUUAAGAAAACAUAUAUAGAGAGAAAAUUUUAAUGCUACUACGACUAGGGACUUCCAUUGUGGAAGUCCAAUAAUAAUAAUAAUAAUAAAUUAUCCAUUUAUCACAAUAAGUAGGAAAUGAAAGAAAUCACAAAAUGGGGCAGGGAUGGGGGGAAGCAAGCAAACAAACUAGAUUUUACAUGCUGAAAUGAAUAUCAAAGAUCCCACAUGCUGCAACUAAGAUCUGGGGCAGCCAAAAAAUUUCAAAAAUUACUAAGACUAAUCUUUAUUUCAGACUCCAUAUUUUAAGGCAUUAGAAAUACUGUAAAGGUGACUUUUAUGCUUUAAUUCUCAGUGUUUCUGUUUUAUUUUUUUUUCUAUUUCUUUUUUUUUCCAUUUAUUUUUAUUAGUUGGAGGCUAAUUACUUUACAAUAUUCUAGUGGUUUUUGUCAUACAUUGACAUGAAUCAGCCAUGGAUUUACAUGUAUUCCCCAUUAUUACAGUGUGCUAAGUAAAUAUUAUAUCUAUAAACAAAUACCAAUCUGUUUUUUACACUAUUGGAUUUUAAAAAUCCUGCUUUCACCCCAUAAAUAAAAAAUAGUGAAUUGCCUCCUCUCAUUACCUGUGUGAUACCCAGUCUCACAAAUGUUUAUGCAUGGUUGAGGUUUAGAAACAGAAUGUUUUAGAUUUUUACAGUAUGAGCUGCACUGUACUGAUGAGUCCAGAAAUGGACUAAAUAGCAAUUUAUAAUACAUCUUCUGUCUUUAUGUAUUGGGUUGUCCAGUGAAUAAGAUCUUACAGAAUAGAAAAUCCAAAUGACAUUCUUGGCCAACUCAGUGCUUCCAUUUCUCCCAUCUUAGCGGUGUGCUUCCCAGUUUCUUCUUAUUUUUGUUUUUAAUUUUGAUCUACAACCAUAUUCCAAUAAACAUUGUGUUAAUUUUAGGUAUGCAGCAGGGUGAAUCCGCUGGACAUGUACAUGUAUGCACGCUUUUUUAGAUUCUUUCCCCACAGGAAUGAACACUGUAUAGAGUUUCCCUGGGCAAUGCAUUAUUCCUGACCAAUUAUCUAUUUUACAGAGAGUGCUGUGUGUCUGUCAGUCUCAGUCUUCCAAUUUAUCCCUCCACACCCUUUUAGAGCCCUUUACCACCUGGUAACUCUAAGUUUGAUUUCUAUAUCUAUGACUCUAUUUCAGUUUUGUAGAUAAGUUCAUUUGUACCCUUUUUUAGAUGCCAUGUAUAAGCGAUAUCGUAUGUUUGUCAUCAGUUUCUCCUUGUAAUUUAAUUUAAUUUUGAAGAUAUUUAGUUUUGUAUCUAUAUAUAUUAUAUAUUUAUAUUAUAUAAUAUAUAUACUUUUAUAUACUUUAAAUUAUGUAUUUGAUGCUUUUUGUCUUAGAGUCCCUUUUACCUCAGGUUUUGUAAGAUGAAUGAAUUAUGUCUAGUUCACCUUCGUGUCCUCAGAGACUAGUACAGCGUCUCAAGUACAGAAUGUUCUAAACAUACCUGUGAAUAUAUAAUGUCUUCCUGACUAUGAGGUGCUGCCCUGUUUGCCUGGUUUCUGCUAAUUUUCUCAUAAAGAAAGAUAAAUUUUCACAGAAAUCUGGAAAGUAAAGUAAAGCAAUCAGUAAAAUUUAUAUUGGUAAACUUGGUGUGAUUAACUUACAAAUGACGUUUGAGUCAAACUGUGACCCUAACUGACUUAGUGUUCUUUUACAAGCUAGUUUCAUUAACAUAAAUUAGGAGAACAACAUAUGAGUAAAACAUACUGUUUUGUCAAAUUGGUUCUUUUUUGUUGUUGUUGUUAUGUACAAAGUUUUAUUUAAAAUGAAAUAUUACACUUUCUCUCCAUAUUCAUUCACAUAAAUAUAUUCUUAUUGUAUACUUA